rnacentral:rRNA from 1 species
GAAGACUAAGACAUGCUAGUCGAGCGCUUCAGCCAAAACGAGGCGCGGCAUACAGCUCAGUAACACGUGGCUAAUCUGCCCUUGGGACAAGAACAACCCCGGGAAACUGGGGCUAAUUCUUGAUAGGCGAAGAACUCUGGAAUGAGUCUUCACCCAAUAGAUUCAAAGUUAUGCUCUUUGAAUCGCCCAAGGAUGAGGCCGCGACCGAUCAGGUUGUUGGUGAGGUAAUGGCUCACCAAGCCUUUUACCGGUGCGGGCCGUGAGAGCGGGAGCCCGGAGAUGGGCACUGAGACAAGGGCCCAGGCCCUACGGGGCGCAGCAGUCGCGAAAACUUUGCAAUAAGCGAAAGCUUGACAGGGCUAUCCCGAGUGCCAUCCGCUGAGGAAGGCUUUUACCCAGUCUAGAACGCUGGGGGAAUAAGGAGAGGGCAAGUCUGGUGUCAGCCGCCGCGGUAAUACCAGCUCUCCGAGUGGUGUGGAUGUUUAUUGGGCCUAAAGCAUCCGUAGCUGGCUAAGUUAGUCCCUUGUUAAAUCCACCGAAUUAAUCGUUGGAUUGCGGGGGAUACUGCUUGGCUAGGGAACGAGAGAGGCAGACGGUAUUUCCGGGGUAGGGGUGAAAUCCUAUAAUCCCGGGAAGACCACCAGUGGCGAAGGCUGUCUGCUAGAACGCGUCCGACGGUGAGGGAUGAAAGCUGGGGGAGCGAACCGGAUUAGAUACCCGGGUAGUCCCAGCUGUAAACGAUGCAGACUAGGUGUUUGGACGGCCACGUGCCGUUCUAGUGCCGCAGGGAAGCUGUUAAGUCUGCCGCCUGGGGAGUACGAUCGCAAGAUUGAAACUUAAAGGAAUUGGCGGGGGAGCACCACAAGGGGUGAAGCUUGCGGUUUAAUUGGAGUCAACGCCGGAAAUCUCACCGGGAGCGACAGCAGUAUGAAAGCCAGAUU